rnacentral:rRNA from 1 species
UACGGAGGUUGCAAGCGUUGUUCGGAAUGACUGGGCGUAAAGGGAGCGCAGGCGGCUUGUUAAGUCUGGAGUGAAAGCCCGGGGCUCAACCCCGGCGGGUCUUCGGAUACUGGCAAGCUAGAGUACGGAAGAGGAAAGCGGAAUUCCAGGUGUAGCGGUGAAAUGCGUAGAUAUCUGGAGGAACACCGGUGGCGAAAGCGGCUUUCUGGUCCGAUACUGACGCUCAGGCUCGAAAGCGUGGGGAGCAAACGGG